rnacentral:rRNA from 1 species
AUCGCAAGACCUCUCGCUAUUGGAGCGGCCGAUAUCAGAUUAGGUAGUUGGUGGGGUAAAGGCCUACCAAGCCGACGAUCUGUAGCUGGUCUGAGAGGACGACCAGCCACACUGGGACUGAGACACGGCCCAGACUCCUACGGGAGGCAGCAGUGGGGAAUUUUGGACAAUGGGCGCAAGCCUGAUCCAGCCAUGCCGCGUGCGGGAAGAAGGCCUUCGGGUUGUAAACCGCUUUUGUCAGGGAAGAAAUCCUUUGGGCUAAUACCCCGGGGGGAUGACGGUACCUGAAGAAUAAGCACCGGCUAACUACGUGCCAGCAGCCGCGGUAAUACGUAGGGUGCAAGCGUUAAUCGGAAUUACUGGGCGUAAAGCGUGCGCAGGCGGUUGUGUAAGACAGAUGUGAAAUCCCCGGGCUCAACCUGGGAACUGCAUUUGUGACUGCACAGCUGGAGUGCGGCAGAGGGGGAUGGAAUUCCGCGUGUAGCAGUGAAAUGCGUAGAUAUGCGGAGGAACACCGAUGGCGAAGGCAAUC